CCGUACCGGGGUUACGGAGUAACACGUAUGCAACCUGCCUGCCACAGCCGGAUAAUCGGGAGAAAUUCCGUCUAAUACGGCAUAAUGCAUCGACGGGACAUCCUGUUGGUGCCAAAGGUUAAUUCCGGUGGCGGAUGGGCAUGCGUCGCAUUAGUUAGUUGGCGGUGUAACGGACCACCAAGACGACGAUGCGUAGGGGUUCUGAGAGGAAGGUCCCCCCACACCUGGUACUGAGACACGGACCAGACUCCUACGGGAGGCAGCAG
rnacentral:rRNA from 1 species